UGUAAUAUUCAUCAAUGGACGAAAUCUGGGGUGCUACUGGAAUAUAGGUCCCCAGGAGGCCCUUUACCUUCCAGGACCCUGGCUUCAUCCUGGAUCAAAUGAGAUCAUUGUGUUUGAAGAAUUUAGACCUGGCCAGGAGAUCCGGUUCACAAACAUAUCUCAUCUAGGAUAUUGAAUCUUGAGUGGUGUGACAUAAAGUAGGAAAUUGUGAUGAGUCCCUUCCCCGGGGAUGUGAGUAACCUACCCAUCCUGACACCUUGGUUGCUGGAACUAACCUGUCUUCUCAACUUAUCCCAAUUUCUGCUUUGGGCCCACCAUCCACUUCUUAACUUGCCAGUACAUUUCUUUUUUGGCAUAGGUUAGGUAACCUUUUUCUGAUGCUUAUAACAAAAUAAACCUACUCAGUGCACACUCUUUGUCAUAUUGCUUCAAUAAAGGUUGUUCAACCACCAAAUAAAAUGCUAAAAAAACGAGAAUAUGGUCAGAAUACUUGACCUCACAACUGUAAAUCUGAAGCAAAAGUGAUCUUUCAAGGAGAUUAAAUAAAUGUAAAUGUUAAUGCAGGAAAUGAUAGGCAGUUCAUAUACACUCUGCAUUUGCAAUGUUUAUAUAAAAAAGGUACUUUCCUUUUACCCUAUGGUGCUUGUUCCAUAUCACACCACUGGCUUUUUCAUACUCAGGGGAAAGGCCUCCUUCUUUGACACAUAUGACAACCAACUACCUGGUCCAGUGCUUCCUUAUCACCUUAUUAUUCCUUACCCAUCUCCUGGCUACCACCUUCAGUACCUGAUUUGCAGUUCUUGAUUCUGGGAUCACCCAGUCCUCUGUGUGCUGUAACCCUUCUGAGGCACAGCAAGGGCACAGGGAACCAUUUAGGAGUCAGUGGUAAAUCAAUUUUGUGGCACAGCCUGGGCAGGCAGAAGGGAGUUCUGUUGAGCUUCAUUUUCUAAAGCCAUGCAAAUUCCAGCAUGGUAUAAACCAGCCCUGGGGUUAGUUGACAGGCUUUUUGGGAGCUUGGGAGAGUGGGUCACCACAAAGGUGAGCUGGCACUGCAUCAAGGCUGCUGAGAAGACUUCCAACCCAAGACCAAAAGGAAUCAUAACCGGACUUCAGACCAGUUGUACAAGGAGCUGCAUUCCUCCCAGAGUAAAGAUCCUGAGUCCCUUCUGCAUGUGCAAAUGCCAGGAGAGCAGCAGCACCCAGGUGGACCAGGACUUCCACAGCCCAAAGAGGUUGAAGAGCAUUAAUUCCCUGCUUGGCCCUUCCUUUGCUGUUCCGCCACACUGCCCCGUCUCUCAGUCCAAGCUGCCAAGGAGGAAACAGCAAGCUGGAAUCAGGGAUCCUUUCCUCUAUCUCUUGCUUCCCCUCCCACCAUCACCCAGAGCUGGAAAGCAUCAAUGGUCCCAUAUCGAAGCCUCUUACUUCCAUAGAGCAUAAGCCUUAGUGUGGGCAUCAACUGGAGGACUUGUUAAAACACAGAUUGCUGGGCUCUAUCCCCAGAAUUUUUGGUUCAGUAUGUCUGGGGUGGGGCCUAAGGAUUUGCAUUUCUGCCAAGUUCCCAGGUGAUAUCAAUAUUACUGGUCUGAGGACCACAUUUUAAGCUCUUUUAUCAUAGAGCAGGAUGGAUCUCAACCUGUCUCAACACUAUUAUUCUGUUGGGCCAGAUAAUUCUGUGUGGUGGGGGCUGCCUGUGCAUUAUAGGAUGCUAAACAGUAUCCCUGGUCUUUAUGCACUAGAUGCCUGUAACACAACCCCCCCCAGUUAUGACAACCAAAACAUGUCCAGAUACUGCCCAGUCUCCUCUGGAAGCAAAAUGCCUCCAGGUGAGAAACACUGCCAUAGACCAAACCUGGUUCUCCUAGUCAGAAGUUAUGUUUUCCCUACCUUACAGGAAAGCACUAGGAAUUGGGGCCUUGGGGAUCAACCCUUUAUAAAUAAAAGGCAAAGGUGACAGAAUUUGGGAAAUCCUCUCUUAAGACAGUAGUCCUAUCAAUGACUCUGUUUUUCUUCUGUAUAAUCCUAGUUCUGAAUGACAGA